GGAUCUUGAUCACUCCGGCACAUUCCUUGCAGCAGUCUGCACUUGGAACAGCAUUUGAUGUGGAAGGAAACACUAGUAUAAUAUCAAGGUGAGGAGACUGAGGCAGAAAGAGGCUGAAGGAUGUGCCCAAGGGAAGAGAAGUCAUGAGUAGCAGAGCUGGGCUUGCUAAACAUCGUGUGGUCUUCAAGCUCAGGUCCAUCAGCACUGGAACAAGCUAGGGUAUUAGUUGAGUUCACAGUAGGUCAUGUCAUUUUCCUGCCAAAUUAUCUCAGUCUGGGUACAAAUAAAAUCUCAAUCUGCUGCUUUUUUUUUUUUUUAA